AAGGAGCAUCUGCACUGCUCGCUGCGUAGAGUCGUGGCUGAGAGUGCCAGAGCCGCUUAUGUUCCCGAAUGUGGAACUGCGGAGCUCAUGGGUGGAACGCUGACAACCUCAUCGCAUUCGAUCGGUCCUCGGUGGCUGGUCGCGGUGAUAUAUCGACACACUGUUGGGUCCUGAAAGAACAGACGCGAGUCUUUCUUUCCAGGAAGAAACGGAUCUGCCCGGAUCCCUUGGAUACCGCUGGUUUUGCCAGUUCGGUCUUUGGAUUCGAUUCGGUGCGGGUGUGUUGUUUGAGAACUGCACAGUGGACGCGAGCAUCUUUGUUU
rnacentral:misc_RNA from 1 species